rnacentral:rRNA from 1 species
UACGGAGGGGGCUAGCGUUGUUCGGAAUUACUGGGCGUAAAGCGCACGUAGGCGGCUUUGUAAGUUAGAGGUGAAAGCCCAGGGCUUAACCCUGGAAUUGCCUUUAAGACUGCAUCGCUUGAAUCGUGGAGAGGUGAGUGGAAUUCCGAGUGUAGAGGUGAAAUUCGUAGAUAUUCGGAAAGAACACCAGUGGCGAAGGCGACUCACUGGACACGUAUUGACGCUGAGGUGCGAAAGCGUGGGGAGCAAACAGG